AAGUCGUAACAAGGUAUCCGUAGGUGAACCUGCGGAUGGAUCAUUACCAAUUUUAUAUACUAGUGUGUAUGCCGCUGUCAAAGGUGGUACUACACUACUACUAUUAUGUAAACGUUGAACUAGAUCAAUUGGUGUGGAUUGCUUGGGAAUGGACGAAGCGACAAGCCUCUUCCGGACAGGCAAACCCCACACUGAUAACCCUUUUCAAUAUAAUUUACUAGUACAUACUACAAACAAACAAACAAAAGCUAUAAUAGGACUUAUAAACAGGCUGAGUGGGUAAAAUCCUCGGCUUAACCAAUAUAACUAUUACAACUUUCAGCAAUGGAUCUCUAGGCUCUC
rnacentral:misc_RNA from 1 species